rnacentral:rRNA from 1 species
AAAACGGAGAGUUUGAUCCUGGCUCAGGAUGAACGCUGGCGGUAUGCUUAACACAUGCAAGUCGAACGGUGUCUUCGGACACAGUGGCGGACGGGUGAGUAACGCGUGAGAAUCUGGCUUCAGGUCUGGGACAACCACUGGAAACGGUGGCUAAUACCGGAUGUGCCCUUUGGGGUGAAAGAUUAAUUGCCUGAAGAUGAGCUCGCGUCUGAUUAGCUAGUAGGUGUGGUAAAGGCGCACCUAGGCGACGAUCAGUAGCUGGUCUGAGAGGACGAUCAGCCACACUGGGACUGAGACACGGCCCAGACUCCUACGGGAGGCAGCAGUGGGGAAUUUUCCGCAAUGGGCGAAAGCCUGACGGAGCAAUACCGCGUGAGGGAGGAAGGCUCUUGGGUCGUAAACCUCUUUUCUCAGGGAAGAACACAAUGACGGUACCUGAGGAAUAAGCAUCGGCUAACUCCGUGCCAGCAGCCGCGGUAAUACGGAGGAUGCAAGCGUUAUCCGGAAUGAUUGGGCGUAAAGCGUCCGCAGGUGGCUGUGUAAGUCUGCUGUUAAAGAGUCUAGCUCAACUAGAUACAAGCAGUGGAAACUACACGGCUAGAGUACGUUCGGGGCAGAGGGAAUUCCUGGUGUAGCGGUGAAAUGCGUAGAGAUCAGGAAGAACACCAGUGGCGAAGGCGCUCUGCUAGGCCGUAACUGACACUGAGGGACGAAAGCUAGGGGAGCGAAUGGGAUUAGAUACCCCAGUAGUCCUAGCCGUAAACGAUGGAUACUAGGCGUGGCUUGUAUCGACCCGAGCCGUGCCGUAGCUAACGCGUUAAGUAUCCCGCCUGGGGAGUACGCCGGCAACGGUGAAACUCAAAGGAAUUGACGGGGGCCCGCACAAGCGGUGGAGUAUGUGGUUUAAUUCGAUGCAACGCGAAGAACCUUACCAAGGCUUGACAUGUCGCGAAUCUUCUUGAAAGAGAAGAGUGCCUUCGGGAGCGCGAACACAGGUGGUGCAUGGCUGUCGUCAGCUCGUGUCGUGAGAUGUUGGGUUAAGUCCCGCAACGAGCGCAACCCUCGUUUUUAGUUGCCAGCAUUAAGUUGGGCACUCUAGAGAGACUGCCGGUGACAAACCGGAGGAAGGUGGGGAUGACGUCAAGUCAGCAUGCCCCUUACGCCUUGGGCUACACACGUACUACAAUGCUCCGGACAGAGGGCAGCAAGCAUGCGAAUGCAAGCAAAUCCCGUAAACCGGAGCUCAGUUCAGAUCGCAGGCUGCAACUCGCCUGCGUGAAGGAGGAAUCGCUAGUAAUUGCAGGUCAGCAUACUGCAGUGAAUUCGUUCCCGGGCCUUGUACACACCGCCCGUCACACCAUGGAAGCUGGUAGUGCCCGAAGUCAUUACUCCAACUGUUCGCAGAGGAGGAUGCCUAAGGCAGGACUGGUGACUGGGGUGAAGUCGUAACAAGGUAGCCGUACCGGAAGGUGUGGCUGGAUCACCUCCUUUUU